rnacentral:misc_RNA from 1 species
AAUUCUCAAGCCCUUCAGGUUUUUUGUGACCUUUGUUGGGACUUGGAUAUGGAGGUUUCUUGCAGGCCCUUUAGUCAGGUCAGCUCCUCUGAAAUGCAUUAGCGGAACUGUUUGUGGUCCUUUGCAGGUGUGAUAAUUAUCUACGCCAAUGGGGUCACUCUUUCAUGUUCAGCUUCUAACCGUCCCACUUCUUGUGGACAACUCAUUACUGAUU